CAGUUCGAGCUGCGAGCCCUUAAUAUAUUGUUAACUAUUGAACCAAAAUUGACAUCCUUUGUAAAAUAAAUCUUCUUAUUCACCAAAUCAAAAUUCAAUCUUGUUUUUUCCAAUCUUUCAAGAAAAUAUCAAUUGGAGCAAGUGGGUAGGAUUUGUUGUGUAGAAGGGCAGAACCGACAUUGUACAUUUCUCACAAUUCGUAUAUUAUCCCCAAGGUCGCUGUAUCUCUUUAAUAUAUUUACCAACCGGUCCUCUUGGACAAAUAGUUUUGUACGGCUAACGUGGCGCCACCGUGAGCUGCUUGAGACAGCGGCCUCAUCGUCCUCCUACCAAAACCGCGAUCGGAUUCAGCGGUUUCGGACCACUAAUCGGAGAAAUGGAGCUCCGCAGUAUCUGUAAUCCUCUGCGUCAUCUUCCUGUGCUCUCCAAUUGUUCCCAUCAAAUUAAAUCGUCCCGAAUUCGCAGCUUCUCAGUUCGGAGCUGCCGCUUAGACCCCAAUGAAUCACACAAGUUGCAGCUGGUUUUGGAAGUGAAGGAGAAGCUUGAGAAAGAUUAUCAGAGUCUUCCUGUAGGGAAAAAUGGAAGAGAUGAUGAAGAUAUGAUCCUAUGGUUUCUCAAGGACCGCAAGUUUUCAGUCGAAGAUGCUGUCGAAAGAUUGAAUAAAGCAAUCAAAUGGCGUCGAGAAUUCAGAGUGUCCGAAUUGUCUCAAGAUUCGGUGAAGGGUAUAGCCGAAACUGGAAAAGCUUACGUACAUGACUUUCUUGAUGUUAACGGCAGACCAGUUCUCAUAGUGGAUGCUUCUAAGCAUCUUCCUGCUGUGCAUGAUCCUGCUGAGAAUGAGAAGCUCUGCGUGUUUUUGAUUGAGAAGGCAUUGAGUGCCCUUCCAGAAGGGAGCGAAGAAAUACUAGGAAUAUUCAAUCUACGAGCGUUUGGUAGAGAAAAUGCAGAUUUAGAUUUCAUUACAUUUUUGUUUGAUGUUUUCUACUACUAUUAUCCAAAGCGAUUGGGCCAAGUCCUCUUCGUGGAAGCUCCAUUUAUAUUCAAGCCAAUUUGGCAGCUCGCCAAACCGUUGUUAAAAUCUUAUUCUUCGCUGGAGGAGGAGGAGGAUAUACGACAGAGUUCUUAAAGCUUUUGCUUUAAGAAACUUCUCCACCUAUUUGCAUAAGAGAAAAAGAAAAAGGAGAAUAAAUAAAAAACCGAUGUAGCAUUACAAACCAGAAGCAUGCUUUGCCUCAAAUAUCCUUACUCCGUGACCUUGAGCAGACUGUUGGAAGUUUUUUACUAGAGUUCUUAAAGUUUUCUCUUCAAUGCAGCCUCCCUACCGUGAGGUUUUGCUCCGUGGAGACCGUCAGAAAGGAGUAUUUUACAGAAGCGACGGUGCCUGCUAAAUUUAGAGACUGAGAAAUGUCACUCGACAAGAAGUGUCGUGCUUUUGAGUUUCGGUAUUUAGCAAAGGCGUCGUGCUUUUGGCUAUGGAUAUUAUUUGUUUUGAGUUCGAUUUCUCUGUCUCGCCUCGAUUAUUGAAAAAAGAAAAAUAAAGAGUCCCCUCAACCUGAGCGUUAACUCAAAUGGUUGUGAACAUAUUUGCACUAAAGAUUUUGAUUUCGAUUUCACCCUCACUUUGCUUAUAUUGAAAUAAAACGAAAAAAAAACCACCUAACUUUA